UUUUCGUUUCUAUUCAUUUUCUGUAUUUUAUUAUUAUUACCGUUAAGUGCCACUAGGGGCGCUGUAGCUUAAGAGUGAGCUUCGUAUGCAGAGAAGAGGUUAAUGCAGAAGAAGAAGCGAUCUCUCUAGAGAAAGAAGCGAUCUCUCAAGAGAAAGAAAGAUGCAUGACUAAAGUGUGGUCAUUAAGCUAAUAAGAGAAAUAAGAUAAACAAAAAGAAGAAGAAAAAGACUUAAACUAAUUCCUCUCUCGGUACUCAGCCAACGAGGUAUGUUUUGUAUGUUGUAUUUGUCAAAAUAGUUUUAUCUGUUAGAUUUCUUUCUUUAAGUUAAUUAUUGUUUGUUCUGUGCUUUUAGUUUUCACGGUGUGUUUAUGAUCCUGACUAAGCUGGAUUCAAUAAAUCCAUCAGUAUGAGAAAGCCACUUGUGUCUGUUUGGUACCUGGAGGAAUUAUAGUGAAAACUCGGACUGAUCUGCAUGCGGGUGGAGGCGAGGCGGCAUGAUCAAAGGAGCAGCAGUCUUGCCACAGCGUGAUCGGCACGUGAACAGAGCAGGGAGCGCGCACGGGACCAAAGCACACGAUUUGAAGAGCAACACUUUCAGAUAAGACCAUAAGAUGUGUGGACACUCAUAAGUUAAGGGUUUGUCUAAACAAGGAAAACAAAACACAAGUUUAUGGUUGAUUAAUCAAACUGUGAAAAGUGAAAGUAACGUUUUGCUAUUCCUAGUUUUGUUUUAUUAAGCCACAGUGUAAGUUCUAAAGCACCUAAGUUUAAGCAUCAGUACUUUUGUUUUAUUGGGCUAUUUGUAAAAUUCUGUAUUUUAUGUGAACAGUUUAAAUGUGAAUAACUCUUAUUUGAAUACGUUUUGGGUAUAUUUAAGUUGACAGUAAUUUAAGUUACAUUCAUAUUACUGCAUUAAGAUUCAGUGUUACAUUUUUAUUUUAUUCUGCCUUUAUAUUUUAACUGCCUGCAGUACAGGGGUGACUUUUAGUUAACGUAAAGAUUUUGCUGUUUAGUGACAAGUGACAAGACGUUAAAAUGACUGAUCCAAAUAUACCACUAAAUAGUGCAGAACCCCAGAUGCAGUCUGAAGAAACCCAAUGUACUAAUCUUAGUGAGCAGCAAGAAUCAGUACAACUUAGAAGAAGUCAGAGAGUGAAAACACUCACAGAAAAGGGAAGAGAAAUGCAGGAUGAGAGAAUUAAAGGACUCCAGCAAAGAUUUAACUACAACUAUGAAAAGUGGAGAACACGUGCAAAAGCAUCCAAGUUACCCCUCUCUCAAACAGAAUCCUUGAAUAAAGACAUACUUGAAGAUAUUAUUGGUGAUGUUAGAGGUCUUUGUGCAGAUGUCACAAAAGUUUAUGAAGAGUUACGUAAGCUCACCCCACCGGAUCAGGAGUCACGUCGCAGAGUAGAUCUGUGUGUGGAGAUCUCAGGUUUCCUCGUGAAUAAAGCAACCAGCCGAUUGGAAGGAAAAGAGGAACCAGAUUGGCCAGAAGCAGGCUCCCUCUUUCAAACUGUAAGCAAUAAGUCAAGCUCCUUCAACACCACUAAGAACUCAAAUGAGCAUUCACAUAGAUCCUCUAUAAAACGUCAAGAAGCCGCAGCAGAAGCAGCAGCGAGUCAAGCUGUUCUCAAAAUAUUAGAAGAACAAGAAACGGAACAGCAAGAAAUAGAAAGACUAGAAGCUGAAGUCAGGAAAAAGGCAGUAGAACAAGAAACAUUGAUUAGACAAAAGCGCUUAGAAAGAGAGACAGAAGAAAUUAGAUUAAGAAUGCAGAGAGAAGCAAAGUUUAAGGCUCAACAAGAAGCAGAGUAUGCAGCUCUGCAGAGAACACUUGAUGAAAAGAAAAGAAAAGUACUGCACCUGAAAAAGGUCAAAGAUCUAAAGGCAGCACAAGCAAAGAUGCAGGUUUAUGACCAAAUGAGUGCAGUAGAAGCGCAAAAGAUUGAUGUAACAAAGAUUAACACAGAAAUGAAAGACGCUGAACAUGUAAGCUUCCCAUCUCUGCUUAAACAAGUUAUACCCCAAGCUGCAGCCACUCCUACAAGUGAUGGUACAUCAGAUCUUGUUAAAGUGCUAGCAAGUGCACUAAGUGCUAGCCGUAUCCCUGUUCCGGAACCUACUGUGUUUUCUGGGGAUUCCUUAAGUUACAGUGACUGGAAGCUGUCAUUUCAAACGCUGAUAGACCAAAAAAAUAUCCCAGACAAGGAGAAAAUAUUCUACCUUCGGAGAUAUGUGAGUGGACCGGCUAAGAGAGCGGUUGAAGGAUACUUCCUGCUUGGAACCGAAUCUGCAUAUGCUGCUGCCUGGAAGAUUCUGGAUGAAAGAUAUGGAAAUCCAUUCACAAUUUCGAAAGCCUUUAGAGACAAACUGCAUGCAUGGCCCAAAAUUACCUCAAGAGACAGUUUCGAACUAAGAGACUUUGCAGAUUUCUUGCGCAGUUGUGAAGCUGCUACAGCUCACAUCAAGUCAUUAGAGAUCUUGAAUGACUGCAAUGAGAACCAAAAGAUACUUUCCAAACUUCCAGACUGGCUUGCUGCUAGUUGGAACCGCAAGGUUAUUGAAAUUGAAGAACAAACAAAUCAGUUUCCCACUUUCAGCCAGUUUGUUGAGUUUCUAUCGAGAGAAGCCAAGAUAGCCUGUAAUCCUGUUACAUCUUUACAGUCACUUAAACAAUGUGAGCCUAACAAAUCAGACAAACCGAAGCUUACAAAACAGAAAGAAAUUGGAGUUAAAACCCUGAUGACGACUUCACAAGAAAAGAUACAACUGGUAUGUGUAUUCUGUAAGAAACCUAAGCACAGUUUACACAAAUGCAGAAGUUUUCUGGAAAAGGCUGUGUCAGACAGAGUCAGCUUUAUUAAGUCAGAAAGGCUAUGUUUUGGUUGUCUCAAACCAGGCCAUCAUUCGAAGAGCUGUACCAACCGCAAUAUUUGUGAAAGGUGCAGUAAAGGGCAUCCGACUUGUCUUCAUGAAGAUAGAGUUAAGGACAAAGGAGAACAAAGGCAACCAAUAGCUAAUCCAAAUCCAAGCAACGAAAGGUCAAGUCAAAGCGACCGAGUUCAAGAACAAGUCACUUCCAUGGCUACGACUAACCGAGUUGCAAGUCAAGAAAAUAACACACAGACAGCUGCAAUCAUUCCUGUGUGGCUUUCAUCUUCCACAAAACACAAAGAAGUUCUUGUGUAUGCCUUACUGGAUUCGCAAAGCGAUACAACCUUUGUUCUCAGUGAAGUUGCAAAGUUACUAGAGACAAACCAAGAACCUGUUAAACUAGAACUGUCUACUAUGUCUUCCCAGACCACAGUUGUUCAGUCCGACAGACUUCAAAAUCUUCAAGUUCGUGGCCUUUACUCAAGCAAAAUAAUCACUUUACCUCCUACAUACACACGAGAAUUCAUUCCAGCCAACAAAGCUCACAUUCCAACUAAUGAAACAGCUAAAGCUUGGCCACAUCUGGAACACCUUCAAUCAGAAAUCGCACCUUUGCAAGAUUGCGAGGUAGGAUUGUUGAUCGGAUAUAACUGCUCACAAGCUCUUCUGCCGAGAGAGAUUGUGUCAGGCAAGGAAGGCGAGCCAUACGCUCAGCGCACCGAUCUUGGUUGGAGUAUAGUUGGACAAACCAAUCACUGCUUGAACUAUGGAGAUGCAAUUGGAAUUAGUCAUCGCAUUAUUGUCAAGAAAGUCAUCCCAGAGCUUAAGCCUUCUCUAAAGCUUCAGAACAAAGUCCACUAUGUCAAUAGGACAACAGUAAAGGACAUCACCCCUUCGGACAUUAUCAAAGCACUUGAAGGAGACUUCUCUGAAAGAGCCAUUGAGGGCAACCCUGUAUCACAAGAAGAUUUAAAGUUUCUCACAAAACUCAAAGAAAACAUCACACAAAAUGAGAGCGGCCACUAUGAGAUGCCACUACCGUUUCGUGACGAAAGACCCACAUUACCAGACAACAGAAUAUGUGCAAUGCAUCGCCUAAAGUGUCUUGAAAGGAGAUUAAAGAAAGACAAAUCAUAUUACAAUGAUUACACAAACUUCAUGGAUGACAUCAUCUCAAGAGGAGAUGCUGAAAGAGUCCCUGACAAAGAGUUGAAUAACACUCCUGCAUGGUAUAUCCCACAUCAUGGGGUCUAUCACCCACACAAACCCGGAAGAAUCAGAGUAGUAUUUGAUGCCUCGGCCAAGUACCAGGAUACUUCUCUCAAUGACCACCUCUUAACCGGUCCUGACCUGACAAACACAUUGGUUGGUGUUCUUUGUCGUUUCCGCAGAAGUUCUGUCGCAUUCAUGUGUGAUAUAGAGCGGAUGUUUCACCAGUUCCAUGUCACAAAAGAAGAUCAGGAUUACUUAAGGUUUCUUUGGUGGGAGAAGGGAGAUUUGGAAGCAUCACCAUCAGUUUACCGUAUGAAGGUCCAUCUUUUUGGAGCAGCGUCUUCUCCAGGCUGUGCCAACUUUGGCCUAAAACACCUUGCUGCCCAAGGACAAGGUCAAUUCAAAGAAAACACCAUACACUUUAUACAGAGAAACUUUUAUGUUGAUGACGGUUUGGCAAGCGUUCCUACUGAAAGGGAAGCCAUUCAGCUCAUCAAAGACUCAAGAGAGCUCUGUUUCAAAGGAAAGUUAAGACUCCACAAAUUUGUGUGUAAUAGUGAGAGAGUUAUGUCCACUAUUCCAGAAGAAGAGUGUGCCACAGUGAAAGACCUUGACCUGUCUUUAAGUUUACCACGCAUUGAAAGAGCUCUUGGAGUUGAAUGGUGCGUCACUUCAGACACAUUCAAAUUCAGAGUUCAAGUCAAGUUGAACCCCCUUACAAGAAGAGGUGUACUUUCUACUGUCGCCUCCAUUUACGAUCCCCUGGGGUUUAUUGCACCGUUCGUCCUCUUGGGAAAGCAGAUUCUUCAGCAAAUGUGCAAGGAUAAGGUUGGGUGGGACCACGAGCUUCCAGAGCACUUAAAACCCCAUUGGGAAUCCUGGAUUAAAGACCUUCCAAGUUUAGCUAACAUGCAGAUUCAAAGAUGUUUCAUUCCUACAGAUUUCGGUCAGGUUAAAAGCUACGAGCUUCAUCACUUCGCAGACGCCAGUGUCAAUGGAUAUGGUGCUUGUACUUACCUGCGAGCCAUUAACCAAUCAGAUCAAGUCCAUUGUUGCUUGGUAAUGGCCAAGUCAAGAGUCACACCUACUAGUGUCACAACUAUCCCUCGACUCGAACUCUCAGCAGCAGUUGUUGCAGUUAGAGUCAGUGAUCUACUCAGGACAGAACUUGAAAUCCCAUACAUUGCUGAGUUUUUCUGGACCGACUCCACCGUUGUUCUCGGCUACAUAAAUAAUGAUGCCAAAAGGUUUCAAGUCUUCGUAGCGAAUCGGAUACAAAGGAUCAAGUCAAGCACAAAGCCAGAACAAUGGGCGUAUGUCGCAUCAGAGCAGAACCCUGCAGACUACGUUUCUCGAGGCUUAACCGCAGAACAACUGAAGUCCUCUGAAUGGUUUGAGGGGCCAACAUUUCUCUGGGAGAAGAACAUUCCUGAUAGAGAUGUUAAGGUGGGAGAGAUCAGGGAAAAUGAUCCAGAACUUCGCAAAGCCUCUGUGUAUACCAUCAAUGCAAAGGAAGAGCAAACUAUUUUCAGCAGAUUUGAGAAGUUUUCAGAAUGGUCCAGAUUGAUAAGAGCAUUUGCAAUCUUGAGAAGAAAGGUCAAGGAACACAAGGGUGAUAUACAAAGGAUCAAAGAAAGUACAACUUUGGAAGAAAGAAAAGAAACAGAACUGUUUGUCAUCAAAAUAGUUCAAGAGAAAGCUUUCGCAGAAGAGAUAAAGAGUCUAAAAUCAAAGAAAACAGUUUCCAAGACCACAAAUCAUAAUCUGUACAAACUAAGUCCGUUUCUGGACGAAAAAGGAAUCCUCAGAGUGGGUGGACGUUUGGGUCAAGCUGUACUACACCCGCAUGUAAAACAUCCUGCCAUACUUCCCAAGGACAGUCAUAUUUCAACUUUGCUGAUCAGACAUUUUCACACGAAGGUUCAACAUCAAGGUCGUGGAAUGACUAUGAAUGAGUUGCGUGCAAAUGGUUGGUGGAUUCUUGGGAGCAGCCGUGCAGUUUCAUCAUACAUCUUCAAAUGUGUCAGAUGUCGCAAAUACAGAAGGAAAACGGAGCAUCAAAGUAUGGGAGAUUUGCCAGUAGAACGAACUGAGUCUACCCCGCCUUUCACUUAUGUUGGAAUGGAUUGCUUUGGACCAAUAUACGUCAAAGAUGGACGAAAGGAGCUCAAGAGAUAUGGACUCAUACUAACCUGUCUAUGUUCACGAGCCAUACAUAUUGAAGUAGUAGACGACCUGAGUACAGACGCAUUUCUAAAUGCUCUGCGAGCAUUUAUUGCAAUAAGAGGAAAUGUGCGUCAACUGAGAUGUGAUAGAGGAACCAAUUUCAUUGGGGCCCAGAGAGAACUCGCAGAUCUCAUGAAAGAAAUGAAUCAGGAGAAGGUAAAAGCGCUUGGAUGUGAAUUUCUCAUGAUUCCCCCUUCGGCAAGCCAUAUGGGUGGAAUAUGGGAAAGACAGAUCAGGACCAUCCGUAGUGUUCUUUCAGCCAUCCUUGACCAGUCAGCAAAGAGACUCGACAGUACAUCCUUGAGAACCUUGUUGUAUGAGGUAAUGGCGAUUGUCAACAGUAGGCCACUUUCCAUCGAGCAUUUAAGUGAUCCAACAGGUCCUGAGCCAUUAACGCCCAAUCACAUUCUCACUAUGAAGUCAACCAUUGUUCAACCUCCUCCAGGAGAGUUUAUGAAAGAAGAUUUGUAUCUUCAAAAAAGAUGGAGAAGAGUACAAUAUUUAGCCAAUGAGUUUUGGAUUCGUUGGAGGAAAGAAUAUUUGCUCAACUUGCAACCAAGACAGAAGUGGAAUGUACACAGAAGGAAUCUGAAGAUAAAUGAUGUAGUGCUUCUACAAGAUGACAUGGCACCACGUAAUGAAUGGAAGCUUGCCAAAGUCACUGAUGUCUAUCCAGGAACUGAUAACAAAGUGAGAAAGGUUCGACUUUUGGUUAGUGAAAGGACAUAUGACAAGCACAGUAAACUUGUGACUAAGACAGUCUCAUUAGAACGACCUAUUCAUAAGGUUAUUGUUUUGCUAGAAGCAGACUAAGGGUUUGUUUUUAUUUUCAUGUUCAGUUUGUCAGACUGAGUGUAAGUCAUAGAAAUCCCACAGUAAGAGUUGUGAGAUUGGUGGGAGUGUUACUGCCACAUUUUCGUUUCUAUUCAUUUUCUGUAUUUUAUUAUUAUUACCGUUAAGUGCCACUAGGGGCGCUGUAGCUUAAGAGUGAGCUUCGUAUGCAGAGAAGAGGUUAAUGCAGAAGAAGAAGCGAUCUCUCUAGAGAAAGAAGCGAUCUCUCAAGAGAAAGAAAGAUGCAUGACUAAAGUGUGGUCAUUAAGCUAAUAAGAGAAAUAAGAUAAACAAAAAGAAGAAGAAAAAGACUUAAACUAAUUCCUCUCUCGGUACUCAGCCAACGAGUUUUCACGGUGUGUUUAUGAUCCUGACUAAGCUGGAUUCAAUAAAUCCAUCAGUAUGAGAAAGCCA